AUUGAACGCUGGCGGCAUGCUUUACACAUGCAAGUCGGACGAGUGGCGAACGGGUGAGUAAUGCAUCGGAACCUCCCCAGUCAUGGGGGAUAACUGUCCGAAAGGCCAGCUAAUACCGCAUAUUAUUUGAUGGGCCGAUGUCUGAUUGGCUGGUUGGCGGGGUAAAGGCCCACCAAGGCGACGAUCAGUAGCGGGUCUGAGAGGAUGAUCGGCCACACUGGGACUGAGACACGGCCCAGACUCCUACGGGAGGCAGCAGUGGGGAAUUUUGGACAAUGGGCGCAAGCCUGAUCCAGCCAUGCCGCGUGUCUGAAGAAGGCCUUCGGGUUGUAAAGGACUUUUGUUAGGGAAGCGGUACCUGAAGAAGAAGCACCGGCUAACUACGUGCCAGCAGCCGCGGUAAUUC
rnacentral:rRNA from 1 species